rfam:Dipodomys ordii contig_34936, whole genome shotgun sequence.
GGUGGCUCAGUGGUAGAGUGCUUGCCUUGCAUGCAUGAAGUCAUGGGUUCAAUUCCUCAGCACCA